UGAUUUUCAUGGAGAAACAUGUUAAGGACAUCUCACGCUGCUGUUUUUCCCUGAGAUCUACACAAGCACAGCACCACAGUCCGGACUCCAGCACACGGCAAACUGCCUGAAUUCUGCAGCUACGAACGGCGCCCUCCCUCCCCGGUGAACUGAAUAGAACACUGCCGCUCCCACCAACCACAACGGAUUCCGCAUGCUGACAGCCAGCCUCACAUGAGACUCUAAGGAAUAAGUGUGUCCCCAUGGUUACAAGCCGAGCUCCGGUGCGUCACUUCCGCCAGGCUUGAGGGAGCUGGAGGCAUCGCGGGAGUCCAGCGGAGGGCCGAGACAACGGGUUGCCGUGGUAACCAGGCCGGGCCCUGCUACGUCACAUCCGCCCCGCCGCCAGAAGCUGGGAGUGUUCAUCGGAAUCUGCAGGCAAACAUGACUGGGGACGCACGCUGGUGGGGGAGGCCCACGGGGAAAGUGGGUAUUUAUUGUUUGAUUUGACACAGUGUUAAAUUGUUCUGAGGAAGGGGAGCACGUCCCUGAAACGUCAACGCUCUUUUGGUUAAUACAUUCCAUGUUUUUGC